AACGUAGGUUCCGAGCGUUAUCCGGAUUUACUGGGCGUAAAGCGCGUUCAGGCGGUUUGGCAAGUCGGGCAUGAAAUCUCUCGGCUCAACCCGGAGAGGUUGUCCGAUACUUCCAGACUUGAGGGCAGUAGAGGGUGGUGGAAUUCCGGGUGUAGUGGUGAAAUGCGUAGAUAUCCGGAGGAACACCAGUGGCGAAAGCGGCCACCUGGACUGCACCUGACGCUGACACGCGAAAGCUAGGGGAGCGAACGGG
rnacentral:rRNA from 1 species